GACGAACGCUGGCGGCGUGCCUAAUACAUGCAAGUCGAGCGCAGGAAGCCGCCUGAACCCUUCGGGGGACGACGGCGGAAUGAGCGGCGGACGGGUGAGUAACACGUAAAGAACCUGCCCAUAGGUCUGGGAUAACCACGAGAAAUCGGGGCUAAUACCGGAUGUGUCAUCGGACCGCAUGGUCCGCUGAUGAAAGGCGCUCCGGCGUCGCCCAUGGAUGGCUUUGCGGUGCAUUAGCUAGUUGGUGGGGUAACGGCCCACCAAGGCGACGAUGCAUAGCCGACCUGAGAGGGUGAUCGGCCACACUGGGACUGAGACACGGCCCAGACUCCUACGGGAGGCAGCAGUAGGGAAUCUUCCACAAUGGACGAAAGUCUGAUGGAGCAACGCCGCGUGAACGAUGAAGGCUUUCGGGUCGUAAAGUUCUGUUGUAAGGGAAGAACAAGUGCCGCAGGCAAUGGCGGCACCUUGACGGUACCUUGCGAGAAAGCCACGGCUAACUACGUGCCAGGCGCCGCCGUAA
rnacentral:rRNA from 1 species